rnacentral:lncRNA from 1 species
UUUUCCUAAAAACUAUCUACUAGUUAGGACGACGUCUUGCCAAUCAUUAUUGUUGGAUCACAAGGGAAGCAUGUUCAUCUAUAUUGUUUGAUUAAAAACAAGGGUCUUGUUAACGGGUGUCUCCGGAGCACUCUUUAAGCAUUUCUAACGAGGAAAUUAUUCUUUAAAAAAAAGUAAAACUUCAAUUUCCAACGCAAUAAAUGCACACACUUUUAUAAAAUCUUACUACUUUAGGUGCUUAAGAAGUGCUAAGGAGGCACUCGUUAACAAGACCGUUGUUUUUAAUCAAAUAGGUUGGGUGAAAAACCCCAAUCCGAAGCAUUCCACGGAUGAGGAUAAGCCAUCCAUCUCCGUCCGCCCAUACCAUCGGAUUGCUCGGUUUCAGUUUAUUCGGUUUGUCGGAUGGAUCCGGCGAGUUGAAACGGUUUAAACAUCAGCUAAAAAAAUCAGCAGAAUAACGGUAUAUAUCAACACAGAAGAAGGAUUGUAUGGUUAUCUACAAAAUUUCAAUGGCCCAACAAUUCAAUAACCUAGAAUAACAGGACAAUCAAUAGAAAAGGGAAGAAAAAAACCCAGAUCAAAUGAAAAAUGGUGAAGGGUAUGAUGAGAUCAAAAACCCACGAAUCAAUAAAAGAGGAAGAGAUUGAGAGAGAGGUGCCGCUGCUUUGGGAGAGAAGAAAAUGGUAAAGAAUUGAGAUGAGACAUGUGAGUUUAUCA